rnacentral:rRNA from 1 species
GAGUCUGAUCAUGGCUCAGAUUGAACGCUGGCGGCAGGCCUAACACAUGCAAGUCGAACGGUAACAGGAAGCAGCUUGCUGCUUCGCUGACGAGUGGCGGACGGGUGAGUAAUGUCUGGGAAGCUGCCUGAUGGAGGGGGAUAACUACUGGAAACGGUAGCUAAUACCGCAUAAUGUCGCAAGACCAAAGAGGGGGACCUUCGGGCCUCUUGCCAUCGGAUGUGCCCAGAUGGGAUUAGCUUGUUGGUGGGGUAACGGCUCACCAAGGCGACGAUCCCUAGCUGGUCUGAGAGGAUGACCAGCCACACUGGAACUGAGACACGGUCCAGACUCCUACGGGAGGCAGCAGUGGGGAAUAUUGCACAAUGGGCGCAAGCCUGAUGCAGCCAUGCCGCGUGUAUGAAGAAGGCCUUCGGGUUGUAAAGUACUUUCAGCGGGGAGGAAGGGAGUAAAGUUAAUACCUUUGCUCAUUGACGUUACCCGCAGAAGAAGCACCGGCUAACUCCGUGCCAGCAGCCGCGGUAAUACGGAGGGUGCAAGCGUUAAUCGGAAUUACUGGGCGUAAAGCGCACGCAGGCGGUUUGUUAAGUCAGAUGUGAAAUCCCCGGGCUCAACCUGGGAACUGCAUCUGAUACUGGCAAGCUUGAGUCUCGUAGAGGGGGGUAGAAUUCCAGGUGUAGCGGUGAAAUGCGUAGAGAUCUGGAGGAAUACCGGUGGCGAAGGCGGCCCCCUGGACGAAGACUGACGCUCAGGUGCGAAAGCGUGGGGAGCAAACAGGAUUAGAUAGCCUGGUAGUCCACGCCGUAAACGAUGUCGACUUGGAGGUUGUGCCCUUGAGGCGUGGCUUCCGGAGCUAACGCGUUAAGUCGACCGCCUGGGGAGUACGGCCGCAAGGUUAAAACUCAAAUGAAUUGACGGGGGCCCGCACAAGCGGUGGAGCAUGUGGUUUAAUUCGAUGCAACGCGAAGAACCUUACCUGGUCUUGACAUCCACGGAAGUUUUCAGAGAUGAGAAUGUGCCUUCGGGAACCGUGAGACAGGUGCUGCAUGGCUGUCGUCAGCUCGUGUUGUGAAAUGUUGAGUUAAGUCCCGCAACGAGCGCAACCCUUAUCCUUUGUUGCCAGCGGUCCGGCCGGGAACUCAAAGGAGACUGCCAGUGAUAAACUGGAGGAAGGUGGGGAUGACGUCAAGUCAUCAUGGCCCUUACGACCAGGGCUACACACGUGCUACAAUGGCGCAUACAAAGAGAAGCGACCUCGCGAGAGCAAGCGGACCUCAUAAAGUGCGUCGUAGUCCGGAUUGGAGUCUGCAACUCGACUCCAUGAAGUCGGAAUCGCUAGUAAUCGUGGAUCAGAAUGCCACGGUGAAUACGUUCCCGGGCCUUGUACACACCGCCCGUCACACCAUGGGAGUGGGUUGCAAAAGAAGUAGGUAGCUUAACCUUCGGGAGGGCGCUUACCACUUUGUGAUUCAUGACUGGGGUGAAGUCGUAACAAGGUA